UAUAUAAUAUAUAUAUAUACAUAUAUAUAUAUGUACCUUGAUGGAAUGCCUUAGUUUGCUCUUUAAAAAAAAAAGAGAGAGAGAGAAAGACCAGAAACUCUCCCUUGUCUAAGUUGACCCUGAAGAGUCCUACAGAAGACCACAAGGAAUUCUAAGAGAAGAAUAUAGUAGCGUGGACAACUGGGUUCAGAUGUACAGAAAUUAAGACUCCCUUGAAAAGUGAAGACAAAUGCCUUUGCACUCUCUCCCAUGUCCAGUGGAAAAUGGACAGUCUCUGAGAGAGAAGAGUCAGUAUGGCUGGAACCUGGGUAUCAUCCUAAGGGACCUCUUGGAAUAGCAUUUUUAGAUGUAGUUCUUUGUUGCCCCUGGAUGGCUUCUUCUCUAGCCUUAAGGAUUGACUAUAGCCUCUUAAAAAAAACAGAUGACAGAAAGUUAAACCCUUUUAGAAGCCUAAUGAGAAAACAGAAUCUUCUCUUACUCCAAGGUGUGUGACAACAACGGGAUGACUUUCAAAUCAACUAUGUCAAGGUGAGACCCCAGAUAAAAGACCAAGAUCAGUGCUGCUUGGGCUAAGGAAAAAAUGCGGCUGGAGACCAUCAGGCGAUGGAGUAUUGGUUAGUUGACCAACACCACUGAUAGAAGCUAGACCAGGAAAGAGACGUGUGUGCAUGUGUGUGUCCGUGCUCUGUCAUGCCCAACCCUUUACAACCCCAUGAACUGUAGCCUACCAGGCUCCUUUGCCCAUGGAAUUUUCCAGGCAAGAAUAUUGGAAUGGGUUGCCAUUUCCUCCUACAGGGGAUCUUUUGGACCCAGAGAUCGAACCCGCGUCUCCUGCAUUUGCAGGCGGAUUCUUUACCGCUGUGCCAUAUGGGAAGCCCGAAAGAGAUAUGAGCUAACGCUAAGUGAAUCUCCCUGCUUCCUCUGCCCAGACUCCAACCCCAAACAGGCCUGACAAUUUACAAAGGGAGCUGACUGAGGAGAAUAAAUAUGAAAGAUGAGAAGGGAUUUGCACCCAAAGCCACUCCAAGGGGUUGGAACUGGGAGUCGGGCUACAUUGUUUUACCAUUUCCAUUACUGUUUUGAUAUAUUACUAAUAUUGUACACUCUAGAAAAGCUAGGGUUACAUUUCUUUGUGACCGAAAUUAUUUUACAUCCUUUUGAAAAAAAUACUCUCAUCACUCUUUCUUCCAUCAUUAAACAAGUACCACAAAAUGUUUCUCAGAUACAACAGAUCUUUUUAUCAACUCUCUUACCUUUAAUGAAAAUAAGGAACAACUCUAUUUUAUUUCACUUAUCAAAAGUGUUUUCUCAGUUUCCUCAGACUAUAUACUUAGUAAAAAGUACUAUGAGUGAAAUUAGAGCUUUUUUUUUUAUCCUUAAAUGUUUACUUCCUAAAAUGUUAUAUAAUAAUAUUUCAGUUAAUUGA
rnacentral:lncRNA from 1 species